rnacentral:rRNA from 1 species
UACGUAGGGUGCGAGCGUUGUCCGGAAUUAUUGGGCGUAAAGAGCUUGUAGGCGGUUUGUCGCGUCUGCUGUGAAAAUCCGGGGCUCAACCCCGGACUUGCAGUGGGUACGGGCAGACUAGAGUGUGGUAGGGGAGACUGGAAUUCCUGGUGUAGCGGUGAAAUGCGCAGAUAUCAGGAGGAACACCGAUGGCGAAGGCAGGUCUCUGGGCCACUACUGACGUGAGAAGCGAAAAGCAUGGGGGAGCGAACAGG